GUGCUCGCUUCGGCAGCACAUACACUAAAAUUGGAACAACACAGAAGAUUAGCACUGCCCUUGCACAAAGAUGACACACAAAUUUGUGAAGCGUUCCAUAUUUUU
rfam:Camelus ferus unplaced genomic scaffold scaffold486, whole genome shotgun sequence.